rnacentral:lncRNA from 1 species
GCUAAGAUGAAAUAAACUUAGCAGUGCAUGUACCCUUGUUUUGACAUAAAAAUAAUAGAAUAAAUCUUUUCUUUGCGCUCCAGCUUUGCAUUGUGGCUGUCUUGGUGUUACCCACAUGAAUUUGGUUCACACAAGGCCAGGGGAAAGAUUUUAGCAUCUUUUCUACACUCCAUAGAAGAUUGUGUGUCUUGGCAUGCCUGUUGGAAAAGUGCUGCAAGCAUCCAAGUCUGAAUGAGGCUCGUGGUGAGGAAACCAGACCUUCAAAUGGAGGAGAAGGGGUGAGAAUGGAAAUGUCUUCUUGGUCUUUUCUGUGGUACCUGAAGAUCCCCACCAACCUUUUGCAAGGCAGUGGACAACAAACCCUGACUGGAAAAAUACUGUAGUCUUUCUGAUGCUAGCAGAGAAACCCAGCAAAGUAUUGUCUUCUUCUGGGCUGCUUCAUGGCAUCUUCA